rnacentral:rRNA from 1 species
GGCCUUUUGAGUAUGAUUUAAGGUCUUACCUGCCCAAUGAUUUUUUAAUGGCCGCAGUAUUUUGACUGUGCAAAGGUAGCAUAAUCAUUAGUUUCUUAAUUAGAAGCUGGAAUGAAUGGUUUGAUGAGAAAUUAACUGUCUCUUUAUAAUUGUUUUAUAAUUUUAUUUUUAAGUUAAAAAGCUUAAAUUUGUUACAAAGACGAGAAGACCCUAUAGAGUUUUACGGUUUUAGGAGUAAUUUAUUUGAGGGUUUUGUUAUUAAAUUAUUUUUUGAAUUGUUUUGUUGGGGUGACAUGAAAAUUUAUAAAACUUUUCAUUGGUUUUACACUAAUGAGUGAAUAUAUGAUCCUAUUUUUUAGAUUAUAAGAUUAAAUUACCUUAGGGAUAACAGCGUAAUUUUCUUUGAAAGUUCUUAUUGAUAAGAAAGUUUGCGA